GAUGAAGAACGCAGCGAAAUGCGAUAAGUAGUGUGAAUUGCAGAAUUCAGUGAAUCAUCGAAUCUUUGAACGCACAUUGCGCCCCUUGGUAUCCCGAGGGGCAUGCCUGUUCGAGCGUCAUUUCAACCCUCAAGCCUGGCUUGGUGUUGGGGCUCUGCGUCUGCAGUCCCUUAAAUCCAGUGGCGGACACGCUAGGUCUCCGAGCGCAGUAGUUUCUCCUCGCUCAGGGCGUCCGGCGUGGGCUUGCCUCGCACCCAUCUUUUACAAGGUUGACCUCGGAUCAGGUAGGAAUACCCGCUGAACUUAAGCAUAUCAAUAAGCGGAGGA
rnacentral:misc_RNA from 1 species